rnacentral:rRNA from 1 species
GACAGAGGUGCCAAGCAUUAGGCGGAAUCACUGGGCUUAAAGCGUGUGUAGGCGGGUGCCUAAGUACCUUGUGAAAUCCCACGGCUCAACCGUGGAACUGCUGGGUAUACUGGGUGCCUUGGGUCAUCUAGGGGCUGCCGGAACAAAUGGUGGAGCGGUGAAAUGCGUAGAUAUCAGGAGGAACACCGGUGGCGAAGGCGGGUCUCUGGGCAGUAACUGACGCUGAGGAGCGAAAGCGUGGGGAGCGAACAGG